UUUCUUUCUAGAACUUUAGGAGAAAACAGAAUUAAUAAGACACAUGCACCUUUAUAUAUACUACUGAUUAUCUUAAACUAUGCAUAUUUUUCAUAUUUUAA